rfam:Oryza sativa Japonica Group DNA, chromosome 6, cultivar: Nipponbare, complete sequence.
ACGUACUCGCUCCGUACCAAUCCAUGUCCAACGUUUGACCGUCCGUUUUAUUUGAAAAAUUAUAAAAAAAUUAAAAAGAUAAGUCACGCAUAAAGUAUUAAUCACGUUUUAUCAUCUAACAACAAUGAAAAUACUAAUUAUAAAAAAAUUUCAUAUAAGACGGACAGUUAAAUGUUGGACACGGAAACUCAUGAUUUGUUUUUUU